rnacentral:snRNA from 1 species
GUGCUCACUUCGGCAGCACAUACACUAAAAUUGGAACGAUACAGAGAUUAGCAUGGCCCCUGUGCAAGGAUGACACACAAAUUCGUGAAGCGUUCCAUAUUUUU